UUGUGUUUUAUCUAGAUGAU
rnacentral:snRNA from 1 species